rnacentral:rRNA from 1 species
CCUACGGGAGGCAGCAGUGAGGAAUAUUGGUCAAUGGACGAGAGUCUGAACCAGCCAAGUAGCGUGAAGGAUGACUGCCCUAUGGGUUGUAAACUUCUUUUAUAAAGGAAUAAAACGAGGCACGUGUGCCUUUUUGCAUGUACUUUAUGAAUAAGGCUCGGCAAACUCCGUGCCAGCAGCCGCGGUAAUACGGAGGCACCGAGCGUUAUCCGGAUUUAUUGGGUUUAAAGGGAGCGUAGAUGGGUUGUUAAGUCAGUUGUUAAAGUUUGCGGCUCAACCGUAAAAUUGCAAUUGAGACUGGCAGUCUUGAGUACAGUUGAGGUAGGCGGAAUGCGUGGUGUAGCGGUGAAAUGCUUAGAUAUCACGAAGAACCCCGAUUGCGAAGGCAGCUUACUAAACUGUGACUGACAUUGAUGCUCGAAAGUGUGGGUAUCAAACAGGAUUAGAUACCCCAGUAGUC